rnacentral:rRNA from 1 species
UACGUAGGGUGCAAGCGUUGUCCGGAAUUAUUGGGCGUAAAGAGCUCGUAGGCGGUUUGUUGCGUCGGCUGUGAAAACUCAGGGCUUAACCCUGAGCUUGCAGUGGGUACGGGCAGACUAGAGUGCGGUAGGGGAGACUGGAAUUCCUGGUGUAGCGGUGAAAUGCGCAGAUAUCAGGAGGAACACCGGUGGCGAAGGCGGGUCUCUGGGCCGUAACUGACGCUGAGGCGCGAAAGCUAGGGGAGCGAACGGG